rnacentral:rRNA from 1 species
GACUACUGGGGUAUCUAAGCCUGUUCGCUCCCCACGCUUUCGCACCUCAGCGUCAGUAUCUGUCCAGCAAGCCGCCUUCGCCACCGGUGUUCCUCCUAAUAUCUACGCAUUUCACCGCUACACUAGGAAUUCCACUUGCCUCUCCAGUACUCAAGUCUUACAGUUUCAAAUGCACGUCACCGGUUGAGCCGGUACCUUUCACAUCUGACUUAUAAAACCGCCUACGCGCCCUUUACGCCCAGUGAUUCCGGACAACGCUUGUCCCCUACGUAUUACCGCGGCUGCUGGCACGUAGUUAGCCGGGACUUCUUCAUUGGGUACCGUCACUUCUUCUUCCCCAAUAAAAGAGUUUUACGAUCCGAAAACCUUCUUCACUCACGCGGUAUUGCUGCGUCAGGGUUUCCCCCAUUGCGCAAUAUUCCCCACUGCAGCCCCCCGUAGG